rfam:Absidia repens strain NRRL 1336 BCR42scaffold_8, whole genome shotgun sequence.
GUCACCUUGGUGUAGGGGUUAUCACGCAUGCUUCACACGCAUGAGGCCGCCGGUUCGAUUCCGGCAGGUGACA